UACCAGAGAUUCGAGUUGGGUGGCGAAGGCGCGAGUCUUCCUCUCGUCCUGAGCUUGCUAGAGUCUACCCCAGAAACUUCCUCUCUCCCAUCAUUCUCAUCUGCUCUCGAUUAUUCUCCCAUCCGUUUCGGAUGCAUUAUCUCCUUAUCGGAUCCCAAUGUCGGCUCCCGAUCUACUUACCCCCACUCUCCAUAUUACAAUGUCAUCGGAUUAGGGUUAGGGUUAGGGUUCCGUUUCUCUCUGAUGGAUCCGGAUCCGAUCCCGAUGCGCUGAUGGAGCCCGUCUGAAGCUGUUGAUGGUUCCCAACACGAAUCACGAUGAUCCAGCGAAGGCGCUGAGGGUUUAUUGUUCCUUGUCUUUCAAAGUACUCGGGCGGCGACAGCAAAAGUGCCAGGUACUUGCUGUUGCCUUACUGUUUUUCUGAUGGAACUGUAAUUCUGAAGCUAAAUACCCUGCUCCUGGGUGGCAACAUAUUCUUCUUCCAGAGCUCAGUCUUCUUGGAUUCUACAUGUUCCCUUUUAGAUGUUGUUGCACUUAUCUGCAGGGUGAAAGACUAUUAUAAUGGGCUGAAGCCAAGAUCUACAUCUGGUGUUCCUCAUGUUCAUGUCUGUUGGAUUCUUCAUCGUGGUCAUCCUCUAAGGCGCAGGGACUGAUCGUAUUUGCAUCUCCUCUGAUUGAAUAUGAAGUCACAUACAGGUAUAGGCCGAGGCUACAUGUAGUUAGAUUUUCUUUGUUCAUUAUUCUUGGGUUUGUUUUGUUUUGCAUAUUUAUUCAGUUGUAAAAGUUUCUUCUUCAUUUCUGACAUCUGUUGGUCAUCCCAAAAGUUUUAUGAACUAAAGAUUUAUUUUUUGAGAAAGUAUAUGCUUUUAAUAGGAAAUGAGUGCAUUAAUUGGAAGUUAGAGUUUGCUCCUAUGGAGGAUAAAAUUAGAGAGAAUUGACUUAGAUAGAUUGAGCGGCCGCAACGAUGAUCGCUAAAUGCACUAGGUUGAGGUGUGAUAAAAUUAUAGUUAACAAGACAAGGAGAAUUAAAGGUAGGUCUAAGAACUUGGUUAGAAAUGACAAAGAAGGAUAAGAUAAUGGUUAACAUAACAAAAUUAAUAACUCUCAAUGGAACCAAAUGGAAGAAUAAGUUUCAUGUUUGCCGAUUACAAAAAUUUGAGAUAAAAAGCUUUUUUUGUGCAUAGUUGCUUCUCCAUUUUUUCAUCACACCCUUGUACAACAUGUUAGAAUGAAGUAUGAACACCUGGAUUAUUAAGACACCACCUGUCUGCUACUUGUCAUUUCUUGAAUGCACCUUAGAUCACCUGUUGAGGGGACAACUUUAUAAUGAAGAUGAUACAUGUUGAUGUUAAGUGAUCACACAAUCAAUAUGUAUCCGUGUUUGGAUGAGUUUGUUAAGGAUCGAUGAGGGGGUCGCUUUCUCCUAUGAGUUUAUAUCUGGUUCUUGAGCUGGGUAUCUGAAAAAUUUGCACGUGUAGAAAUUCAUGAGAAGGCGGGGUUUGGCUCCCCUGUAGUACCUUCGACGAUAAAGUUAGUUGAACUUGAGUAGGGUUCAAUAAGAACUAUAAGAGUUCUUGUGUGUGUGUCGUAUGAUUUGCAAAAUUAGAGAAUUUAGAUUAGAAUUCAGAAUUAGGGAUUCAACCCAAGUUAAAAUAGUACAUGUAUUUAUACAAAAGUUGUAAUGGUAUAUUGGUCACUUCGACCGAGCACUGAGAGGCGGUGACGAAGUAUGGACUGGCGGCUGUGUUAGCAUUUGCUUUAUAUGUGUCGACCGAUGAUUGGGGGGAGGAUCACUUCAACAUUAAAUGAGAAGUGAGUGGUGACAGGAUGGUGUCCCACGUGGUCCGAUGAGUCAUGAAGACUAUCGGGGCUAUAGUCAUGAUGACACCUACCAAGCAUUAAAUAUGAUGUUGACAUGUUGCUAGAGAGAGAAGCUUGAGGCGAAAAUAGUCCAUUAAUUUCGUCGAGAAGUAAUGCCUUUUGAGUCGUCUCCGUAAGGCAUAUGAAUAAAUGGUCGGGUGGACUCCUGGUGAGUCGUCUUUGGCAAGGAGGUCGACUAGUACCGUCUUUCGAGUCGACAUGAAAAAGUAUCGAAUCGAUGAGUCGGCUAAGUCAGAAUCCUUGCUAGGCCUAGACCGCCCAGUUGAUUGGGGCGCUAUAUGUGGAAAUACACUUGUCCAGUGUUUGGUAAUGAAUUGCACUUUGGCGAAAAUGAGAACACUAUAACAGUUGACCCCUUUCGCUUGGAGUCGGUUUUAGCCGGGUUCGAGUGAAAUACAAUGAAAAAUUAUUUUGAACGGACAUGGGUGCUUUGAAUGAAAACUGAAAGUCACUUCAGAGGCGACAUGACUGACGUCACCAUACAUCUUUUUUACUGUUACAACUUUGUUUUUUGGCAGAUUGCGGUCUACCCUAGGUAAGUGGGCUGCACCUCGAUCUCUGAGGGCUAGGGGUGCCAAACGGUUCGGAUAUAUCCGAACCGAUCCGUAUCCGUAUCCGAACGGAUGCGGAUAUGGUAGGCUAAUUUUAAAACCGGACGGAUACGGUAACGGAUACGGAUAUGGUUUCGGAUUUUUUUCGGAUACGGAUUCGGUAACGGAUAUGAGGGUUGCGGAUACGGAUAUCCGCAAUGUAAUAGUGAUUCGGGUAAUCGGGUCCCAAACUUGUAGUUACAAACCCGCUAACCCAAAACCAAAACUAAAAAGAAAAAAACCCUAGACACUCACCCUCACUCCCUCAGCCAUCAAGCCGCCAGAGCUCUCUCCAGCCGUGCUCAAACUUCUCUUAUUUGCCAUUCGCCAGCGAUCUCACUUGUUAUAAGCCCGCUGAUUUAUCUCGUGGAUUUUGCUUGUUAUAAGCCCGCCGAUGAGUUUAAGGUAACUUAAUUUACUACUGGCUCCUGUUCUUGAUGUUCGGUAUUUUGUUCACGCAUUUUGUGUGUGCUAACUUCUCGGCUGAGUUAAAGUUGGUUGUCAAGAAUCUGUUGUUUGCCGUGCUCAUAUAGCUAGGUUUUAGCGUCCAAUUCCAACUAACGUCGGUUGAACAGAGUAAUUAAAGAGAGAUAUAAUUAGGACGUAGGAAUUAUAUGGCUCUUAUCUGAAAUAAUCAGUCGUGAGUAAUUAUAUGACUCCCACUAUGGCACUAUCGCUAUAAAAACUCAUGACAGCAAAAGACUUAUUUCCUUUCUGAUUGAAAGUAUAUUAUAGGUACUAUGCUUGAAGUUUUCUCUUAAAAAAACCUAGAUCUUGCAUAUGUUAAACAUAAUAUAAGGAAGUUUGCUAGCUAUUAAUUGUCUAAAUAUGAUUGUUGUAGUUUGGUUACAAUUCCUGACACUAUUAUUUUAGUUGGGUUGUGCUACUGAAGAUUUUGGAUGAAGAUUAUAUGUCUAAUAAAUUUGUGCUCAAUUUUAGUUUUCAAUUGAUGGUUUUGUAUGAAGAUUAUAUGUCUAAUAGAUUUAUGUUGAAUAUCCGUUUAUAUCCGUGAUCAUAUCCGAUCCGAUUCUCAAAUAUCCGAACCGUAUCCGUUUCCGAUAAAUGCGGAUAUGGUUAAGGUUUUUUCUUACCGAGGGUGAUCCGUAUCCGUAUCCGUAUCCGUUUAUAAAAAGCGGAUAUGGAUAUGGUAAACGUCAUAUCCGAACCGUAUCCGCUUCGAUAACACCCCUACUGAGGGCGCUUCGAAUUCUGAAAAUGAAUCUUGGCCAUUGGACAUAGCUGGGUCUAACGGCUCGAAUUUCGACAGCCCUAAAGUCACCUGUCUAUAUAUAGGAAUAUAACCAUAAGAGUGGCAACUAUUGUCUUUUGAAAUCUACUCCAGAGAAUUUAAGUUCUUCUCCGUUCAUCUUUUCCGGCGAUAAUUUAUACAAUCUCCGAUGGCUUCUGACCCAGCUGAUCGCCGAGCUCUCCUGGCAGGG